AGCCACACAGAAAGCACAAAGCGAACUAUUCUUUCACUUUUUUACUAAAGAAUACCAUAUGAUCACUGCAAUUAGUGGCAUACGCCAUUUCUUGGAGGGGUUCGUGCUAUCGCAUGAAG
rfam:Capsicum annuum cultivar Zunla-1 unplaced genomic scaffold scaffold3822, whole genome shotgun sequence